CGUGUAGGCGGCCAGAUAGGUCUGCUGUGAAAACUCGAGGCUCAACCUCGAGCUGUCGGCGGAAACCAUUUGGCUAGAGUCCGGAAGAGGAAAGUGGAAUUCCUGGUGUAGCGGUGAAAUGCGCAGAUAUCAGGAAGAACACCCGUGGCGAAGGCGGCUUUCUGGGACGGUACUGACGCUGAGACGCGAAAGCGUGGGGAGCGAACA
rnacentral:rRNA from 1 species